rnacentral:lncRNA from 1 species
AUUUAAUUCCCCAACUUAAUCAAACAAAUUAAACACACAUCCAUCCCCCUUACAUUACACAUGAUAGAGAUAAGCACAAAACGAAACCAGAAAAAGAAGGUAAAGUGAAACCAACAACUCGUCCUUCUCCUCCCCCUCCCCUCCUCUCUCUCUCUCUCUCUCACAUACACAACAGACAAAGAAGAAAGGAUAGAGCGAGCCGGCUACACCAUCCCAACCACCUCCUUUCCUCGUAACUUUACUAAUUACUCCUUCCAAGCUCAGUUGCCGUGGCUGCUCCGGAACGAACCCAGCGCCUUGAUGGCCGCCGCGCGUAGGAUGUACUGGUGGUACGCCGCCGCGGCCAACGCCCCCACGAACGGUCCCACCCAGAAGAUCCACUGCCACACCACCGACAAACAUAUAACGUUACAACUGAGUCCAGAUAAUUAUAACCUGUAACUUAAGGUUUUUUUUUUUUCAUAUUAAUCGUAAUUACCUGGUCGUCCCAGGCCUUCUUGUUGUUGUAGAUAACGGCAGGUCCCAAGCUCCUGGCCGGGUUGAUGCCGGUCCCGGUGAUGGGAAUGGUGGCCAGGUGUACCAUGAACACUG